rfam:Myotis lucifugus cont2.18028, whole genome shotgun sequence.
AUCGCUUCUCGGCCUUUUGGCUAAGAUCAAGUGUAGUAUCUGUUCUUAUCAGUUUAAACUACAUAAGAUCAGGGCUAACACUGUAACUCUAUGCAUUUCUCCAAGGAAAAUUAUCUAAUACUAGAGGUCCGGUGCACGAAAUUCAUGCGGGGGGAGGGGGGGGGAUUCCCUCAGCCCGGCCUGCAAC